rnacentral:tRNA from 1 species
GGCGUGGUCGCAUAAUUUGGUUAUUGCACCAAGUUGAUGCCUUGGCGAGACGUCCAAGUCUCGUGCGGGUUCAAAUCCCGCCCACGCCG